rnacentral:sRNA from 1 species
AUUUGGCAUGGUGGUGUGCCUCACUUUCGCUUCGU